rnacentral:rRNA from 1 species
CACGAGUGUAUUUGUACGUUGUUGUGGUUAAAAAGCUCGUAGUCGGAUUUCAGUGUUGUUUGUGAUGCCGCUUGACGAAAUGUCGAGCCGUCGCUGCAAUACUCACCUUCUGUGCAUAUCGCACUGGUGCAAUUAAGUUUGUGCCAUGGUCGAAUGUGCACGUUCACUUUGAAGAAAUUCUAAAGCUCAAAUUAGUCGUUCGACUGUUGAGUUAAGCAUGGGAUGAUGGAAGAAGACUUGUCUUUCUUUCGUUGGUUUUGCCUAGAUGAGUAAUGAUUAAAAGGAGCGGUUGGGGGAACUCUGUAUUGCGAGUGAAGCGGUGAAAUGCUGGGAUCCUUGCAAGACAAACUGAUGCGAAGGCUUUGUUCAAAGACGCCUCCAUUGAUCAAGAGCGAAAGUGCAAGUAGCGAAGAUGAUCAGAUACCGU